rnacentral:rRNA from 1 species
GCAAGUCGUGCGCGAACGUGGCUUCGGUCACUAGUAGAGCGGCGAACGGGUGAGUAACACGUGGAUAACCUGCCUGGAUGUGGGGGACAACUUUAGGAAAAUCGAGCUAAUACCGCAUACGUCUCGACUCUCUAAGGAGUCGAAAGAAAGAUGGCCUAUUCUUGAAAGCUGUCGCAUUCAGAUGGAUCCGCGGCUGAUUAGCUAGUCGGCGAGGUAGAGGCUCACCAAGGCGACGAUCAGUAGCCGGCCUGAGAGGGCGAUC